GAUGAACGCUGGCGGCGUGCCUAAUACAUGCAAGUCGAGCGAACAGACGAGGAGCUUGCUCCUCUGACGUUAGCGGCGGACGGGUGAGUAACACGUGGAUAACCUACCUAUAAGACUGGGAUAACUUCGGGAAACCGGAGCUAAUACCGGAUAAUAUAUUGAACCGCAUGUUUCAAUAGUGAAAGACGGUUUUGCUGUCACUUAUCGAUGGAUCCGCGCCGCAUUAGCUAGUUGGUAAGGUAACGGCUUACCAAGGCAACGAUGCGUAGCCGACCUGAGAGGGUGAUCGGCCACACUGGAACUGAGACACGGUCCAGACUCCUACGGGAGGCAGCAGUAGGGAAUCUUCCGCAAUGGGCGAAAGCUUGACGGAGCAACGCCGCGUGAGUGAUGAAGGUCUUCGGAUCGUAAAACUCUGUUAUUAGGGAAGAACAAAUGUGUAAGUAACUAUGCACGUCUUGACGGUACCUAAUCAGAAAGCCACGGCUAACUACGUG
rnacentral:rRNA from 1 species